GAUGAAGAACGUAGCGAAAUGCGAUACUUGGUGUGAAUUGCAGAAUCCCGCGAAUCAUCGAGUUUUUGAACGCAAGUUGCGCCCGAAGCCAUUCGGCCGAGGGCACGUCUGCCUGGGUGUCACGCAUCGUUGCCCCCCCAAACUCCGGUUCGGGCGGGGCGGAAGUUGGCCUCCCGUGUGUGCCUGCGCGCGCGGUUAGCCCAAAAGCGAGUCCUCGGCGACGAGCGCCACGACAAUCGGUGGUUUUUUUACCCUCGUUCCUCGUCGUGCGUGUCCCGUCGCCCGAACGCGCUCUUGUGACCCUCACGCGUCGCCUCGGCGGCGCUCCCAACGCGACCCCAGGUCAGGCGGGACUACCCGCUGAGUUUAAGCAUAUCAAUAAGCGGAGGA
rnacentral:misc_RNA from 1 species